UACAGAGACCUCAAGCGUUAUCCGGAAUCAUUGGGCGUAAAGCGUACCGAUAGGUGGUCAUGGUAGUUUUGGGGUAAAAGCCAGAAGCUCAACUUCUGCGUUUGCUCAAAAAUACUCCACGACUAGAGGGACAAAGAGGUGGCUGGAACGAAUGGUGUAGUAGUGAAAUGCGUUGAUAUCAUUCGGAACACCGAAAGCGAAGGCAGGCCACUGGGUGUCACCUGACACUGCUAGGACGGAAAGCGUGGGGAGCAAACAGG
rnacentral:rRNA from 1 species